AUUGAACGCUGGCGGCAUGCCUUACACAUGCAAGUCGAACGGUAACAGGUCUUCGGAUGCUGACGAGUGGCGAACGGGUGAGUAAUACAUCGGAACGUGCCUAGUAGUGGGGGAUAACUACUCGAAAGAGUGGCUAAUACCGCAUGAGAUCUACGGAUGAAAGCAGGGGAUCGCAAGACCUUGUGCUACUAGAGCGGCCGAUGGCAGAUUAGGUAGUUGGUGGGAUAAAAGCUUACCAAGCCGACGAUCUGUAGCUGGUCUGAGAGGACGAUCAGCCACACUGGGACUGAGACACGACCCAGAAUCCUACGGGAGGGAGCAGUGGGGAAUUUUGGACAAUGGGCGCAAGCCUGAUCCAGCAAUGCCGCGUGCAGGAUGAAGGCCUUCGGGUUGUAAACUGCUUUUGUACGGAACGAAAAGCCCUGGGUUAAUACCCUGGGGUCAUGACGGUACCGUAAGAAUAAGCACCGGCUAACUACGUGCCAGCAGCCGCCGUAA
rnacentral:rRNA from 1 species